rnacentral:lncRNA from 1 species
GCUCCAUUUAUUAUAGUUUAAAUAUGGCAUAUAUAAUAUAUAAUAUUGCUAUACAUAUAUGUGCACAUUUAUUUCACCUUAAUUAUAACUUGACUUAUACUGGGCAUAGUUUUAUACAAAGUCUUCUGCACCAACUUACAUAAAUUGCAUGUUUCCAUAUAUCAACAUCUAUUUUCCCUAGCUGGAAAUUUCUUUAUACUUGAUUGUACAAGGAGGUUUCUCUUCGAAGGAAUUAUAAAGGUAACAUCUGCUGUUGGAAAUCUGCUCAUAUUUUAAGAAAUUACAAAGCCAAAAAUAAAUGGUAUCUCAAUGAAAACUAGAAGAAAUAACUUUUAAAAUGUCUUUGCCAUACAUUCUCUUAUCUUCCCUAUCCAUAUAUAAUGUACAUUUUUUAACCUAAAAUCCCAGUUACCUUGUAUGUCAGACAUGCUUUUCUCAGGACAGUUUGAGGUCUUUGGAAACAUCAUUAACUACUCCUUGGAAUAUGCAAUAUUUUUAAGGUUGCUUCUCAUAUUUUUGCAUUUCCUAAAAUUAAGCAUACCUGUUUACAAAAUAACCAGACACAUUAGCCUUGUACAAAGAAGUGCAGUGAGGCCACAAGUAAUGCCCACUGAAGCAGAUAAGGAUUUUUAAAAUGUGGGUGUCUUGAAUACACCUGUUUUCUGUGAUCAGUUAAAUAUAUAAAUAUAUUAGGUCUCAAAUAGCCAACAAAUCAAGUUUUCACCAACAAUUUCUUCUGCACAUAUUUGUUCUGGGUUGACUCUCAAAUUACAAAUAUCUUAUCAGCUUCUUGAAAAAUCUCUUAGAAUACACAAUCUAUGAAGAACAAAUGGAAACACUUUAUCACAAAUCCCACUUUUUUGAGGCAUCCACUAUUAGCAGCUUGAUGAGUAUAUUGGUUUAAACAUUAAAAAAAUGAUAUAUAACUGUUCAAUAAGAACUGAUGUUAUUCAGUGAAAUAAAUUUAAUCUAUAUCUCAUUAAUAUACUCCCCACAUUCCUCAGCACAAUGCUAGGCGCGCGCGCGCGCGCACACACACACACACACACACACACACACACACACACACACACUUCCAUUUCUUUUCUUCAAAUCCAUCCUCAUUGGUCCCACUACACAUAGAAUUUGGUGCCCUGAAUUCUCAAUUCAACACUAGAAAAUGAGUACUCUCCAAUAUCAUUAACUUUUCUUGAGGAACAAGAUAGUUUUUUAUGGUUAAAUCUCAUAGCAUUCUUUUACUGUUGAUCAAACCGUAAGAAUUAUAUGCAUCUGGAAAAAAAUCAGUAAGUGGAACAAAUAUAUAGCAGUAAAGAAAUGAUACUCUUAAGAAGUUUAAUAGAUAUUCCAUUGAUGUUUGUUAUAUUGCAUUCUGCUCUUUUUAUUAUAUAAUUGUACAUGUGUGGGCACAUGUGGACAGGUUGUCAGGAUUUGGUGACUUUUUACUUACAUGAUAUAUGAGGAAUAUCCUUGCAUGAUACAUGAGGAAUAUCCUUGCAACUUGAGUUGCUUCUUUCUAUCAUAGUUUUCUCAGGUCUCACAUCACAUAAGUCUCAUCAUAUGUCGUGAAAUAUGCUUCAGAAAGCUGGAUUUUCUGUUAAGUAAAAUUUGGAAAUAGAAUUUCAGAAUAGAGCCUUUAAAUCUUGCAUGUGUGUAGAAGUGUGUAUGUUUUAAAGAAAAAUACAUCUUGUAAUAUGUUGUUUUCCUAAUUAUAUAUUGAGAUGAUGCUGGUUUCUUGAUUUUUAAAAAACUUGCAAAUGUAAGCUUUUCUCAUUUUCAACAUUUCAAGGCUUUGGACAAGUGUAAGUUAAAACGUGAAGGCAAGUCAUUAGAAACAUCACUGUAGAAAAUUACACACUGUUAGUUGCUUGACUGGGGAACUUUCCAGAUAACUUCCUUUCUGCCUAUUUGCUUUUCUGAACCAAUAGGUUUAUGUGUUCAACUUGAAUUAAUAAGAAUAAUGACAGGUUUUAAAAUCUUGCCACAUGUUUUUGCAUUUCUAGAAAUAAUCAUGCUUCUUUACAAUGUACCUGCUAUAACAGCCAUGUAUGGAGAAGUGAAGCGAGGUCACAGGUAAUGCCACCUCCAGCAGACAAGAACUUUUAAAAUGUGGGUUCAUCUUCAAUCCUCUUCACUCGGUUUUGGUUCUCAUCUGUUUGUGCGUGGUCAGCUCUCCUAGCAAAAGUGCUAACCCUUCUUGGUUUGGCGGGCUGAUCCCAUUUCUCUUCAAGGUCCUCCUAGCUGCAAGCAAUUUGGUUGCACCUGGGACCUCCAGCAAGCACAUGGCAUCCUUUUAUAAGCAACCUGGUAUUGUCUGGUUCUCUGCAGUGACUCUGCUACCACAAAGGUCCUAGGCCCCAGAGCCUGAAGGCACCACGUGUCAGCCUUUCCCAGACUCUCAGGGGCGGGGAGAGAGACGAAUACCCACAGGCCCAGUACUUCGUUGGUUGGUGGCUUCCUCCAGUCCCGCCCAUACUGGGAGAAUACCAAGACCCCACCCUACAACUUCCUGGGCCUGGACUUCCUGCCAGAGGCCGACUUAGUCUUCCCUCCCCACGGGCCAGUUCCUACACCUGGACCUCACUCUGUC